GGACGUAUUUCCGGUCCCGAGUGCCGACUCAGUCGCCGGGGGCGGGCUUCUCUGGCUGGCUAACUCAGCUGCCCUGGAGGAUUCGUGCGCGCUUGAUAAAGUACCGCUGAUGAAAUCAUGACCAGGUGGGCCCGAGUAACUACCACUCAUAACAAGAGACCUUUGGCUGCAACAUCAUGGGAGGACAUGAAGAAGGGGUCCUUCCAGGGAGAAAGCCAAAAUCUACCAAAGAAUAAACAACUUGAAGCCAAAAGGCUCUCUGUUAAAAAUGAUGCUCCCCAAGCAAAACACAAAAAGAACAAAAAGAAAAAGGAGUACUUAAAUGAAGAUGUAAAUGGAUUCAUGGAAUACCUAAGACAAAACUCACAGAUAGUUCAUAAUGGAGAGAUGAUAGCAACAGACAGUGAGGAGGUAAGGGAAGAAAUUGCAGUAGCUUUAAAGAAGGAUAGUCGACGGGAAGGAAGAAGACUAAAAAGACAAGCAGCAAAGAAGAAUGCAAUGGUAUGUUUCCAUUGUAGAAAACCUGGCCACGGGAUUGCAGAUUGCCCAGCUGCCCUUGAGAAUCAAGAUAUGGGAACUGGAAUAUGUUACCGGUGUGGGUCCACAGAGCAUGAAAUAACCAAGUGCAAAGCCAAAGUAGACCCAGCUCUUGGUGAAUUUCCUUUUGCAAAAUGCUUUGUUUGUGGGGAAAUGGGGCAUCUAUCCAGAUCUUGUCCUGAUAAUCCCAAAGGACUCUAUGCUGAUGGUGGUUGCUGUAGACUCUGUGGCUCUGUGGACCAUUUUAAGAAAGAUUGCCCUGAGAGUCAGAAUUCAGGUACAAACCCUUUGGAAAUACCAUCUUUUGUGAAGUCUAGGCAUGCAUGGAAACAGAAGUGGAUCCAAAGAGGGUAAAGGGAGAUCUUGAAAGGACUCAGAAGUGAAGACAAAGACAUAAUAAAAGCCAACAACCCAGAACAAAACACUGGCAAGAGGUCAGAGUUGAAAAGAAUCAGUGAAGUCGUACCUGAGUUUACUUCAAUUUUAAGAGUUUGUAGAAAAGGUGAGAGUUGGCACCAAGGAGAAGGUAGAGUUCCACUGGGUGCGGGGCAGCAGAGAGAAUCGGAUGUAAAGCGGCGGGAGAAGACAGAAGUACAACCCAGAAGAUGAUACAUUGCCCACAGCAGCCCGCGGCUGAGCAGAGGUGAGGUCUCCGGGGCCUCUGUCAUUCCAACAAAUGAUAAGAGUGACUUGGGGAAGAAAAAGAAGAAGAAAGAAAAGAAAAAGUCCAUUUUACUUUGUGAUGUAGAAAAGAAAAAAAUAUAUAUCCAAAGAGGAAUAGCCUUGAAAGGCGUUACUGGUGUGAGGGGAUUCUGGGUGGAGCUCUGUACCCACCACUUCCCCCGCCCAGGAAGGGAUCUGAUUACUGAAACUCACAUGCUAAUAACUGACCU